UGGGGAAGUUUUCCGCAAUGGGCGAAAGCCUGACGGAGCAAUGCCGCGUGGAGGUGGAAGGCCUACGGGUCGUCAACUUCUUUUCUCGGAGAAGAAACAAUGACGGUAUCUGAGGAAUAAGCAUCGGCUAACUCUGCGCCAG
rnacentral:rRNA from 1 species